UACCCAUUAUAAGACCUACUUGAGACUACUGAGCUCUCAAACGAAGUAAAUGUGAACCUCGACUAAUAUCAUGAGAAAAAGAAUUACCCUUGCCUAAGGCUACUACGGAUAUGUUAAUGUUUGCACAAGGGUUAUUCAAACAGUGAUGUCAUGUAGCAAUUUUGCGGACACCAACUAAGCCUUGUCUAAAGGGUGUAUUCUAUUUGCUCAAGUGCUUUGACCCAAGUGGAUCGUAUAAGCCUU
rnacentral:lncRNA from 1 species